rnacentral:lncRNA from 1 species
AGCUCCAACCGAUAGAUCCGAACUCUCUGGCAAGUCACGGCAAUAGCCACUACCUUGCUCCACUCUCUGCAAUAGAUUUCGCGUGGCUCCACUACUCUCUGGCAAGUCGCGACAACGGACACCACCCCACUCUCCGAGCUCUACCACUCCCUGGCAAGUUGCGACAAUGGACACCACUCCACUCUCCAUAACAAACUCCACGUAGCCCUGAAUGACCCCUG